ensembl:lncRNA
CCUGACUCCCUAAAACUGCCACCUCUUCCUGUUCAGUCAACCUUCCUCCUCCUGCCUGACGGUUGGAAGUGGAAGGACGUGGACUGGGUGGGGGCGGGCACGGCUUGUGCCCAGGCUGGGCCUCCCCCAAGAGUGGCAAAGCAUGGUUUUUGGGAUCCCAGAGGAGAAGCUGCCCAUUGUGUACUUUUCCGGGUAUGGAGAAAGAAAGAGGAGACAGCAGAGCUGACUUGAAUGCCUGGCUCAAUUCACCGGCGACAGCCCUCCCAGCCUGCCCUGUGGGGGUCCUCAGAGCUGGUCCCUAUUUCGCAAAGUUGGCUCAAGCAGCCUCAGGAAUGGGUGUGUGACUUCAGAGCAGAGCAGAGAAGGACACCACCCUCUUCUGGGGCCACAGCCCUCGUGGGAUUUGCCUCAUCCUUGAGGGGCAUGUUGGGAGACACUGUACAGCUAAGAGUUCCACGGGCUCUUCUGCAUUUGGGGUCAGGCCGGAGAGGAGCCAGAAGAAGUUUGCUAGCAGACUGAGUCACCCAGAGGCCGACCCUUUCACACAAGCUGUCAUACCUCGGCGAAGUAACAUUCACGGCCAUACCUUCGACCACCUGUUUUCCAGUGCUCUCACACCUUCCCAACCCCCUGUUCGGAAACAAGACUGGAAGUGGAAAGUUCCAGAACUGAUGAGCCAAAGGACAAAACCGUAAGGCAAUAAGUCAGCCUCAUCACGCUUAGGAAGGAUGGAGGCUGAUGGAGUUGGUGGCCAUCUCCUCAGCUCAUGAAACAGCCAGAUCACUACAGAACUGUUACCACAAGGCCAGGACACGUUGACACGAGGCGAGGAUUACCCUUCAUCUAACAGAAACAAACACAAGGGCAGGGAGGCAAGCGUUCUCCUCUCUUUCCUUUGUACCCUCCUGAGAGCUUCCCUUGGGGAAGAUAAUUCCCUGUGCAGACUCCUAAGUCAGCCCUGAGAUGAGCAGGUGCCAAGGCUUGAGAGACAAAGGCCUGAUGAGCACAGAAGUACGUGGCAUCCUCACCUUAGGAGGCCACUGAGAAUGUCCGUCUGUCGGAGAAAGAAGGCUGUGAUGUGUGCAGAGGCUGUGGCAAUAUUCCCUACACUAAUGCCAGCGUGAAUUACCCAUGAAAUAAUUUAAAUGUGCCUCUCUGUGAGACGAACCCGGCUCAAAGAAAAAGUGUGUGCUUUUCUAGGCUUACCUAUGGAGCCGACAGAAUUUUUGCUUUUUAAUCAAAGCAGCAAUCCACUUUGGAUUAGGAUUUAUUGUAUGGGGGCAACUUCAUCUCAAAAAUAUAUGUCUGGGUGAGUGUAUGUGUGUGUGUAGAUAUGUACAUACUCAAGGACAAUGACUUUACAGGACAACGAACCAGUUCUAAACAGCCAUCUUUGACUUAAAGGAAAUGUCGUUUUCUGCGCCUGGUCUGUAAGGAUUCCAGGUGACCCCAUUAAAAGUGGUGGAAAGGUACUCUGGAACGUGCAAACUCAUCAUCAGCUGGAUUACCAUCUUUGUAAAGAGUUCUAGCCAAAUCUCAGAUUCCAAUUCCAAAUGGUAGAGACAAGCGUGCACUUUUUGGAAGGAGAUAAAUACCCAUUCCAUGCCAGCUGGGUUGAGUCUUGGAAGGAGCGAGGUAGCAAAGAAAGGCGUCCUUGUCCUAGACAAUGAGUACGGGGACACAAGCUUCAUUCGGAAGAACUAUCCAUUCUAGGUGUGGGCAAUGGGCACAGAAGAUGGAGAAGAGAAAGCCAAGUAGCCAGCAAAAACGCUGGAGGUGAACGCACGGGUAAAAAUUCUCAGUGUCUUGGUAAAUGAUCAAACUCUUGUCACACACGUAAGGGUUCUGGAGUCAGCGACGGAGACUAAAAUCCUACCUUGACCACUACCUAGCUGUGCACCUUGGACCUCUUUCUAGGUAUCCAUUUUGUCGCCUGAAAAAUGGGGAUCGCAGCACUGACUCUUCCUCGCUGCUAGGAUGCCUUCCACAGCUGUCAGCCACCAUUGUUAUUGUUAUUUCCAUUUGCGGAUGUAAAACAGAACUAUGCUUGACUCUAUUUCACAGGCUGGUUUUGGUAUUAAAUUAAACCAUGUUUUCAACUGUGUAGCAUAUUUCCUGGCUUACAGUAAGUAAUUAAUAAAUCUUAG